rnacentral:tRNA from 1 species
GCACUCUUAGCUCAGUUGGUAGAGCAGCUGACUCUUAAUCAGCGGGUCCAGGGUUCGAGCCCCUGAGAGUGUACCA